rnacentral:RNase_P_RNA from 1 species
GUGGCAGGCGGGAUGACCGCCGUGGCGUCCGGACCCGUGGCAUCACGGGCCCGGGGUCAUGCCGCGGAGGAAAGUCCGGACUCCGCAGGGCGCGGUGGUGGGUAACGCCCACCGCCCGGUCACGGGUAGGGAUAGUGCCACAGAGAAUAGACCGCCCCGGGGACUCGGUCCUCGAGGUAAGGGUGAAACGGCGAGGUAAGAGCUCACCAGCAGGCCGGGUGACCGGCCUGGCUCGGCAAACCCCACCGGGAGCAAGACCAAAUAAGGGGGCAAUGACGUCCGAUUUUGCCAUCGGGCACGAUGGGUGUCGGCGGAUUGGCCCGAUCCGUGAUGACCCCCGGGUAGGUCGCUGGAGGUGCCGGGCAACCGGCGUCCAAGAGAAAUGGUCAUCCGGAAACACGAUCGUUUCCGUACAGAAUCCGGCUUAUUCGCCUGUCGCGAUC